AUUGAACGCUGGCGGCAGGCUUAACACAUGCAAGUCGAACGAGAUCUUCGGGUCUAGUGGCGCACGGGUGCGUAACGCGCGGGAAUCUGCCCUUUGGUUCGGAAUAACAGUUGGAAACGACUGCUAAUACCGGAUGAUGACGAAAGUCCAAAGAUUUAUCGCCAGAGGAUGAGCCCGCGUAGGAUUAGCUAGUUGGUGUGGUAAAGGCGCACCAAGGCGACGAUCCUUAGCUGGUCUGAGAGGAUGAUCAGCCACACUGGGACUGAGACACGGCCCAGACUCCUACGGGAGGCAGCAGUGGGGAAUAUUGGACAAUGGGCGAAAGCCUGAUCCAGCAAUGCCGCGUGAGUGAUGAAGGCCUUAGGGUUGUAAAGCUCUUUUACCCGGGAUGAUAAUGACAGUACCGGGAGAAUAAGCUCCGGCUAACUCCGUGCCAGCCGCCGCGGUAACAC
rnacentral:rRNA from 1 species